ensembl:snRNA U6 U6 spliceosomal RNA
GCAUUAAAGAAGCACAGGGAAUGAUCAAAUGGACCAAUACAGAAAAAAUCAGCACAGUCCCUGCUCAUGGGUGACAGGCAAAUUCAUGAAGAGUUCCAUAUUUUA